rnacentral:lncRNA from 1 species
UCGUGUAGUGCACUGCCGCUGCUUGGGCGAUGCGCCACAGUCGCCAAUAGAGGGGACUUUUCUCCCUCUUUUUUCGUGCUGAGCAUCUUUUUCCUCUCUUUCUUCACCGAAUUUUGCCACUUGGUGUGAAUCUGAUGGUUCUAAUUUUUAUAAAUAGGGUCUUCCCUUCCCAUUCUUCCCCACACUUCUAUUCUUCUAUUUUUCAAGAAUUAGAGAGAGAAAGGGAGAGAGAGUGAUCUAGAGAGAGAAUGAAAGAAAGAAAAGAAGAACGGUGAAGAAGAAAUUAUCAAAAUUUCGAUAAAGAAUUUAGUAUUUCUUUAAAUAUCUUAAGGGAUAUUUUUAGAUAAAAGAAAAAUUAUUAAAUAUGAUAAU